GCCCGGCUAGCUCAAUCGGUAGAGCGUGAGACUCUUAUUCCCAGUCUUCAGGGCUCUGAACAUCAUCUCAAGGUUGUGGGUUCGACCCCCACGUCGGGCU
rnacentral:tRNA from 1 species